UGCCACGGGGACUCAAGAUGCCUCUCGCCAG
rnacentral:piRNA from 1 species